GGACGAACGCUGGCGGCGUGCUUACCCCAUGCAAGUCGAACGGAAAGGCCCUGCUUUUGUGGGGUGCUCGAGUGGCGAACGGGUGAGUAACACGUGAGUAACCUGCCCUUGACUUUGGGAUAACUUCAGGAAACUGGGGCUAAUACCGGAUAGGAGCUCCUGCUGCAUGGUGGGGGUUGGAAAGUUUCGGCGGUUGGGGAUGGACUCGCGGCUUAUCAGCUUGUUGGUGGGGUAGUGGCUUACCAAGGCUUUGACGGGUAGCCGGCCUGAGAGGGUGACCGGCCACAUUGGGACUGAGAUACGGCCCAGACUCCUGCGGGAGGCAGCAGUGGGGAAUAUUGCACAAUGGGCGGAAGCCUGAUGCAGCAACGCCGCGUGCGGGAUGACGGCCUUCGGGUUGUAAACCGCUUUCGCCUGUGACGAAGCGUGAGUGACGGUAAUGGGUAAAGAAGCACCGGCUAACUACGUG
rnacentral:rRNA from 1 species